GCGAAAGUGGCGGAAUCGGUAGACGCGCCAGCCUUAGGAGCUGGUGGCCAAUUGGCCGUGGGGGUUCGAGUCCCCCCUUUCGCA
rnacentral:tRNA from 1 species